rnacentral:rRNA from 1 species
UACGGGGGGGGCAAGCGUUGUUCGGAAUUACUGGGCGUAAAGGGCUCGUAGGCGGCCAACUAAGUCGGACGUGAAAUCCCCGGGCUUAACCUGGGAAUGGCAUUCGGGACUGCAAGGCUGGAGUGCGGCAGAGGAGACUGGAAUUCCUGGUGUAGCAGUGAAAUGCGUAGAUAUCAGGAGGAACACCGAUGGCGAAGGCAGGUCUCUGGGCUGACACUGACGCUCAUGCACGAAAGCGUGGGGAGCAAACAGG